rnacentral:rRNA from 1 species
AUGGGAGAGGAAGGAGUUGUUGUGGGAACCAUUCCCUACCCUAUGGUGAUUUCUUCUCCUGAGAGACCGGUUGCAACCAAGGAGUUGCAGGUGUACCAGAGAAGGCAUCUUCGCGAUCAGGGGGUGCGAACAAUAGUUGAAAAUGAGCAAGUUGCGCGAGCUGAGGAGGAACUACAACAGACUGAACCCCUAGAGCAGCCACAGUGCCAGGAUGACAUUCGUGUUCCAGUCAUCUCUCCGGGCCUCUCACCAUCAAGAUCCUCACCGUCAUUAGAGAUAGGUGAUGAUGCUUCUCCCUCUCCAUUGCAUUUAGAAUUACCUAUUGCCCAACGCAGAGCAAUUAGAAGUAAUGCUGGAAAGCCCCCAGAUUUGUAUGGUUUUGAACAUGACAUUGCUAAUUUUGUGUCAUACUCAUGCAUUUCACCUGCAUACAAAGCAUUCAUUUCAUCUCUUCAAUCUGUAUCCGUUCCAAAUGAUUGGAGAACAGCAAAGCAGGAUCCCAGGUGGAAGGAGGCUAUGAAGGAAGAGCUUAGUGCUCUCCAAAGAACAAGACAUGGGAUCUUGUGCUACUCCCACCAGGAAAAAGGAUAG